rnacentral:sRNA from 1 species
UCUCCUUGAGCACAGAAUACGACGUUAC